CCUACGGGAGGCAGCAGUGAGGAAUAUUGGUCAAUGGCCGGGAGGCUGAACCAGCAAAGUCGCGUGAGGGAAGACGGCCCUACGGGUUGUAAACCUCUUUUGUCAGGGAGCAAGGUGCAGGUCGGGACCUGCUGUGAGAGUACCUGAACAAAAAGCAUCGGAUAACUCCGUGCCAGCAGCCGCGGUACUACGGAGGAUGCGAGCGUUAUCCGGAUUUGUUGGGUUUAAAGGGUGCGCAGGGGGAGGCACAAGUCAGCGGUAAAAUCGCGGGGCUCAGCCCCGCACCGCCUUUUAAACUGUGUGCCUUGAGUGCCCGAGGGGGAGGCGGAAUGCGUGGUGUAGCGGUGAAAUGCAUAGAUAUCACGCAGAACUCCGAUCGCGAAGGCAGCCCACCGGCGCGAAACUGACGCUCAUGCACGAAAGCGUGGGUAUCGAACAGGAUUAGAUACCCUUGUAGUC
rnacentral:rRNA from 1 species